rnacentral:rRNA from 1 species
GACGGAGGGUGCUAGCGUUGUUCGGAAUCACUGGGCGUAAAGGGCGCGUAGGCGGCCCAUGCCGUCGGCUCGUGAAAGCCCGGGGCUCAACCCCGGAGGUGCGGCCGAGACCCAUGGGCUGGAGGCCGGAAGAGGAGGGUGGAAUACCCAGUGUAGAGGUGAAAUUCGUAGAUAUUGGGUGGAACACCGGUGGCGAAAGCGGCUCUCUGGUCCGGUCCUGACGCUGAGGCGCGACAGCGUGGGGAGCAAACAGG